UGACAUCUUGUCUGGUCCCCAUGAU
rnacentral:piRNA from 1 species